rnacentral:lncRNA from 1 species
ACUGCUUCCAAGGUGUCUUUAAUUCCCUCGCUGCUGAUCCCAUCUCUGUAGUUGUCCCUAGUACUACUCUUUCUAAGAAUACAUCUAAUACUGUUAAGGUUGAAUCUCAUAAAGGAAAAGAACAGAACUGCUAGCUAUCAGAUUGAAAAGAGAAACAAGUCAAUCACCCGCGGGCACGUAAUGAAACUAAGUGGAGGAAGAACCAAAGUGCUAAUAGGGAAUUUGACUAUAAGGUAAGGAUACCGGGCAUAGCUCUGAGUCAUUGAAACAGGAUACCGGGCGCAGCUCUAAGGCAUUGACUGCUGGCAAACAGACUAUAACUACUACGGAUUAGUAUGGAUCUACUUACUUUUCUUCUUUCACCCAUCUGCCAAGUCACUACUCAAAAGAGAAGUCAAAGCAGUAGCUCUAGG